CCAGGAGGUUGGCUUAGAAGCAGCCAUCCUUUAAAGAUAGCGUAACAGCUCACUGGUCUAAAUAAGUUGUCCUGCGGCGAAGAUGUAACGGGGCUCAAGCCAUGAGCCGAAGUCUAGGGUGUGCACUUUUGUGCAUGCGGUAGCAGAGCGUAGUGUGACAUAGUUCCAGUCCUCUUUAGCAAUCUUCGGAUUGCCUUGGAGGAUAUGGAGCUUUCGAUGAAGCGGGCGUGUGAACGAUCCCGUGGAGAGAUCACUAGUGAGAAUGAUGACAUGAGUAGCGACAAAGAGUGUGAGAGACACUCUCGCCGAAAGUCCAAGGGUUCCUGCUUAAAGCUAAUCUGAGCAGGGUAAGCCGACCCCUAAGGCGAGGCCGAAAGGCGUAGUCGAUGGGAACCAGGUUAAUAUUCCUGGGCCAGAUGGAAGUGACGGAUCGUGAAGGUUGUUCCUCCUUAUUGGAUUGGAGGGGCCGCUAAUCGGUUCCUGGAAAUAGCUCCAUCAUAAGAUCGUACCCUAAACCGACACAGGUGGACAGGUAGAGAAUACCAAGGCGCUUGAGAGAACGAUGUUGAAGGAACUCGGCAAAAUACCUCCGUAAGUUCGCGAGAAGGAGGCCCAGUUUCUACGCAAGUAUUGGCUGGGGGCACAAACCAGGGGGUGGCGACUGUUUACUAAAAACACAGGGCUCUGCGAAGUCGCAAGACGACGUAUAGGGUCUGACGCCUGCCCGGUGCCUGAAGGUUAAAAGGAGGGGUGAGAGCUCCGAAUUGAAGCCCAGGUAAACGGCGGCCGUAACUAUAACGGUCCUAAGGUAGCGAAAUUCCUUGUCGGGUAAGUUCCGACCUGCACGAAUGGCGUAACGACUUCCCCGCUGUCUCCAACAUCGACUCAGCGAAAUUGAAUUGCCUGUCAAGAUGCAGGCUUCCCGCGGUUAGACGGAAAGACCCCGUGCACCUUUACUACAGCUUCGCACUGGCAUCAGGCACAACAUGUGCAGGAUAGGUGGUGGGCUUUGAAACCAGGACGCUAGUUCUGGUGGAGCCUCCCUUGAGAUACCACCCUUGUUCUGCUUGAUGUCUAACCGCGGUCCGUUAUCCGGAUCCGGGGACCAGCGUGGCGGGUAGUUUGACUGGGGGCGGU
rnacentral:rRNA from 1 species